AUCAACGCUGGCGGCGUGCCUCAGACAUGCAAAGUCGAACGAUUAAAGCUCCCUUCGGGGAGUGCAUAAAAGUGGCGCACGGGUGAGUAACACGUAAAGUAAUCUACCUCUGAGUGGGGAAUAACGUCCGGAAACGGACGCUAAUACCGCAUAAUGCAGCGGCAACCGCAAGGGUGACAGUUGUUAAAAGAUUUAUCGCUUGGAGAGGAGCUUGCGGCAGAUUAGCUAGUUGGUAAGGUAAUGGCUUACCAAGGCAACGAUCUGUAGCCGGUCUAAGAGGACGGUCGGUCACACUGACACUGAAUAACGGGUCAGACUCCUACGGGAGGCAGCAGUCGGGAAUUUUUGGGCAAUGGGCGAAAGCCUGACCCAGCAAACGGCCGGCGUGAAGGAUGAAGUAUUUCGGUAUGUUAAACUUCGAAAGAAUAGGAAGAAUUAAUGACGGUACUAUUUAUAAGGUCCGGCUAACUACGUGCCAGGCAGCCGCGGGUAAUACGUAGGGACCAAGCGUUGUUUCGGAUUUACUGGGCGUAAAGGGGGCGCGUAGGCGGCAUGACAAGUCACUUGUGAAAUCUUCGGGCUUAACCCGGAACGGCCCAAGUGAUACUGUCCGCGCUAGAGUGCGGAAGGGGCAAUUCGGAAAUUCUCGGUGUAGCGGUGAAAUGCGUAGAUAUCGAGAGGAAACACCUGAGGUGAAGGACGGGUGUUGCUGGGCCGACACUGACGCUGAGUGCGCGAAAGCCAGGGGAGCAAAACGGGAUUAGAUACCCCGGUAGUCCUGGCCCUAAACGAUGAAUACUUGGUGUCUGGAGUAAAUUAGUGCUCCGGGUUGCCGUCGCUAACGUUUUUAGUAUUCCGCCUGGGGAGUACGCUCGCAAGAGUGAAAACUCAAAGGAAUUGGACGGGGGACCCGCACAAGCGGUGGAGCAUGUGGUUUUAAUUCGACGCAACGCGAAGAACCUUACCUAGGCUAGAAUGUGAGGGAAAGAAAGGGGUAAUACCGAUCGUCCGGGAAACCGGACCCAAAACAAGGUGCUGCAUGGCUGUCGUCAGCCUCGUGUCCGUGAGAUGUUGGGUUUAAGUCCCGCAACGAGCCGCAAACCCCUUAUCGAUAGUUUGCCAUCAUUAAGUUGGGAACUCUAUCGAGACUGGCUGCGUUGAUAAAACGGAGGAAGGUGGGGAUGAUGUCAAGUCAUCAUGGCCUUUUAAUGCUUAGGGCUACACACACGUGCUACAAUGGCCGGUACAAAACGUCCGCGAAACCCGUUAAGGGGAAGCUAAUCGCAAAAAACCGGUCUCAGUUCGGAUUGGGAGUCUGCAAACUCGACUCCAUGAAGUUGGAAUCGCUAGUAAUCGCAAAUCAGCAUGUUUGGCGGUGAAUACGUUCCCGGGUCUUGUACACAACCCGCCCGUCACAAUCACGAAAGUAGGUUGUACUAGAAGUAGCUGGGGCCAACUCGUAAGAGAGGCAGGUUUACCACGGUAAUGAUCUAUGAUUGGGGUG
rnacentral:rRNA from 1 species